CGCUAUCACUCCGUACGGGAGGCCAGCAGUGGGGAAAUAUUGCACAAUUGGGCGCAAGCCUGAUGCAGCCAUGCCGCGUGUAUGAAGAAGGCCUUCGGGUUGUAAAGUACUUUCAGCAGUGAGGAAGGUGGAGUCGUUAAUAGCGGCCUCAUUUGACGUUAGCUGCAGAAGAAGCACCGGCUAACUCCGUGCCAGCAGCCGCGGUAAUACGGAGGGUGCGAGCGUUAAUCGGAAUUACUGGGCGUAAAGCGCAUGCAGGUGGUUUGUUAAGUCAGAUGUGAAAGCCCGGGGCUCAACCUCGGAAUUGCAUUUGAAACUGGCAGACUAGAGUACUGUAGAGGGGGGUAGAAUUUCAGGUGUAGCGGUGAAAUGCGUAGAGAUCUGAAGGAAUACCGGUGGCGAAGGCGGCCCCCUGGACAGAUACUGACACUCAGAUGCAGAAGCGUGGGGAGCAAACAGGAUUAGAUACCCUGGUAG
rnacentral:rRNA from 1 species